CCGGUGAGUGAGAAGUUGAAAGGCUUACCUUAUGGUAUCAUACAGUCAGAUCAGAUUUGGAGUUAAAGCCACUCUGGUCUAGUAAUACUUUGAGAUCAAAGGGAGGCGAGUUGACGAACCGUAACUUAUUGGCAAUGCCGGUAGGACUUAAGCAAAAGGACAAUGUGGACGCUGUUGUACAGAAGUUUAUUCCGGCGAAUUUCCUGUGUACUAUAUUCAUUACGAUGGAAACAUGGAUCAAUGGUGGGAUCUGGAAUGGAGCUCAAAAGCCAUACACAUUAUUUUGGUUUUAAUGCUCAGGUGGUUUGCGAACGGUUUCUCCAUCCUGAUAAUCGUCUCCAAUUUACGAUUAAUGUUUUCCUUUGGGGACGAAGUCUUGGAGUUGGAACUUCAACCCGCAAAAUUAAAGCAGCAGGACUUGAGAUAUCUCAACCGGCGCUUACAUCCAAACUCAACCGAAGUUCACCAUAGAAUUCGGUCCGUCUAGAACAAAAGUAUUCCAUAGACGGGUGUAUGAUUAGUAGAGGCAAUAUGAAGUGCUCAAAUGCUAGUGAAGGGCCUCCGUGCACCGGAUUUGUUGAAGGAAUGGCGUCCAGUGUUUUCAAGAUCCGCUUGGGUUCUGCACUUGGAAUCUUAUACAAAAUGAUCUGGUUCAUGGAUGGGGAAUGGAUAUGAAACUUGGCUACUGUGCUCAGGGCGACCGUAGCAAGAAGUUGGUAUUGUGGACAGUGCAAUAUAUCUUCAUCAAGCAUUCAAACUCUAGGUGGAAGUCGUUAUCCUGACAAGAAGGUAAGAACUGUCUACUAG